AGAGGACACAUCAUCAUCUGAAUAUCAUAUCACAGGAUGAUGAGGAGGCUGUCAGUCUUCUUCCUGUCCGGCAGAGGAUUAUUGGAGCCCCUUACAAAGAAAAGUAUUAUGUAUUUUGUUGUAUCUCUCUCUAUCAGUAAGGCAGCACCAAAGGUGACUUAAAAGAGGGGUUUAGGGUGAGAUUUGGCUGUUUGGGGGUUCCUGUGGCCAUGAACACCUAAGUGCUGCCUUUUGAGGAGUCAGAAGCCCUCGGUAGUCAAACAGGUGAGCAGAGAACGGUGCCAAGAGCAAUCGGGGCAGAUUUAAACGGCUCCAGAGAGGGUGUGGAACAGAGGUGUGGCAUGUCAGUGAGGACAUUUGCAUUGCAGUUCACACAGGCAGGACAAGCAGGAAGGGCUCCUCUCUGACCAUCUGGGAGCAGCCAACAGAGGCAACAAACAGACUCAGAAAGCAGGGCCACCUUUAAGACUACUAUGUCACUUAUGUGGAUGGAAAAUCUCUUCUGGGCAGCAAGUUCAUCAAGACAAAACAGAAUGUGGCAUGAUAGAGUUGCCUGAGAGUUGGCGCUCUCUAGGAUACCAGAGGUAACUAUAGUGGACUGGCAGCUGGAACACAGAGAUUGUUGGAGGCCCUUGCACUUCUUCAGUGGCAACUGGAGUGAAGGUAGGACAUCCCCUCGACCUUUUAUGGACUAAUAAUGAUCCAUUUGUCAAACAAGAAUUUUCUCUAACACUUGGAUUUGGCAAGACACAAGCUGGUCUAGUGGAAGGUGCCCCUGCUCAUGGCAGGGGGGUUGGAACUAAAUGGUGCCCUAGGUCAAACUAUUCUAUGAUCCUAUAAUUGUAUGAGUCUAUGAUAACAAUUUCAUUGGAUAUGUCAUUUUCAGUUACACUCCAGGAAGCUUAAUUGUUGUUAAAUGGUAGGGAUACUCAAAUGGUAGGGAUACAGACUGUCAGGUGAUACUAUUUAAUGGCUGUGCAACAUUUCAGCUUCACAAACCCACUCUGUUACCAUUUGCUAUUUAGUAGUUAAUAGAUUGCAUAAGUUCCACCUAAACAUAUGUAGAUGAAGUGCCUUUAACAACAACAGCUGCUUGUGUAUGCAUCCAGUUAUACUACUUCUGACAUGGUAGCUGCGCGUUAGAACUCAGACACGCUAACACUGUAACAUUGUUAGGUUUUUUUAUCAGAGUAUGGGAUAAAAUCAGUCUAGCUCAACUCAUUCCUUCUCAGGUAGUAAGGAAUCUUAUAUUUGAUGACCCAAAAUAUACACAAGAGGUUUUUAGAUUAGAUCAGUGUGAUCUAAUUAGAUUUGAUUAUGAGCUCAGAAUAGAGAAUGUUGGCUGAAAUCUUCGGUCUUGUAUUCUGAAAAAGAAAUCAUUUGGCACUUCUAUUGCAGUUUCCAAUAUGUUUGGUGUUUGGAAUAUAUGACAUAUCAGUUUUGCAAAAUGAGAGAAACAAUUCAUUGUCAUCAAGGCUCUUGGUUGUUAGGUUUAUGUGUUUCAUUGAACAACUAGUUUUAGAGUAUUUAAUUUUUAUAACUUCAAAAAAUAACAUCUUUCAUUUCACAAAAAAUAAAAUGCUGCUCGUCUUAGAUGAAAGUAACAGGUGAAAGUUGGUUCCACUUGCACAUGGUAUGAAAAUUCAAAUACUAAAAAAUAAAAUAAAUCAUAUAUUGGAAUAGUCAGAUUUUAAUAAAUGAUCUUUUCCAUUCCAAGAGCAAUACUGCUUAUAUUUGUAUCCUAUAAUCAGCCUCAGGAUUUGGUGUUGGUGAAGAAAUUUCUCUCUUAGCCUGUUGUUUCAUCCAACAUCUAGUGUUGUUUCAUCCAACAAUUUUAUUUGUCCUCUUUUGGUCCCAUUUUUAUUCUGUUCUACAUACUCACACUUUCUGAUCCCCUGCCUUGUAUUUCAUUUUCUCAGCUCUUAUCCCAGCAGAUUUCUUUUCAAAAUACAGGCAUAGCUCUGAGAAAAAGGCUUGGGAAGUAAGAUCCCUGGGGAGAAGGCCUCAAGGGAAAUGAAACAGCUCAGCUUAAAUGUAAGGAGUCGAUCACAGGAUUGCACAGGAAUGAAUGCAGUUAAGUGUGCUAGGUUUGUAUUGUAUGUUUCUUGAACAGCAAUUCUAAUUUCCCUGUACUAAAUAAUCAUACUUCAAACCUGCCUAAAAGAAUUUUUUAAAUUAAGCAAUAUGAGAAAGAUAUUUGAACUUUAGGUUAAAAAAAGUUUUUAUUUCACUCAAUAAUAUCGAUCUAUUUACUGGUCAUUUGGGCUAAAUUUCAAAAAACUUUGCACCCUAAAAAAGUACCUAGUCCUGGGGUAUUAAAGCAGCAUUUAUUAACAGAAAUUUUAUGGUUGACAGCUGAGCUGGUUGAUGAUAGCUGAAGAAAACCAAGUUUUGCUAACUGGAAAGAUUAUCACUGAAGGGCUCACACGAGUGAGAUGGCAAAAUCAAAUACAGAUUGUGCCUUUAGCUGUUGGGAUUGUAAUAUGUGUGACUGUGAAAUCUACAUAUGCAACCUGAUGGUUUUUCAUGGCACGUUUUUACUCAUUCUGUAUAUGAAAGACAAAUGGUAUCUUGUUUUCCUGGCACCCCACCAAACAAUUUCUUGAUGUAAGAUACAGCCUAAACAGAACAAUGUCAUGAUUUUAUGCAAAUUGUGCUGGCUCAUCUGCACUAAUUCUUAGUAAUCGUUAAGAUUUUAAAAAUAUAUAUGUCACUUUAUUUAUCAGUCACCUGUAAUAUUUGUUUUCCAGAAUCUAACGUAUAAAACUGGGUUUAAUAUAUUACAUAUCAGUUUAUACUAAUGUAGAGAACUGAGUUUUAAACUACUAUAGAGCCGUCAAUAGCUAAAUUCUGUGGUAUAACUUCAGAGACUUGGAUAACAAGGCCUUUUAACCUUUAGCCAGCACUUUAUAGCACAGGCUAUAAAUUAGGAAGGAAUUUGACUUUUAGUGGCUUCAUAUUACAGUCUAUCAGGACAGUGUAGAAACAGGAGCUAUUUCUAUUAGCAUAGUAAUGAAACAUUUUUUCCAGAGAUAGUGAAUGAAAUCAACCCCCUAAUUAGAUUUUAUGUGUAAUACUUGAUGGUCAACAUUAUUCAAAAGAGAUAGCAAAAGCUUCCAUUUAAUGCAGCCAAUAUUCUUGUUUAUAUUGGACAAGGAAAAGGAAAGAGAAGAUAGAAUAAACCACCAUGACAGUAGUGCAUUUCAGAACAAAAUCAUGUGCAUCUCACCUUUUCACUUCCAUUAUGCAGAUCUGAAAAGGAAAAAAAACUACUAUAGAGGAGAAAAGAAAUAAUUCUCAACACAGCAUGAUAUUCGUCACUUAAUUCAGAAAAGGUCAUGCACAUGGUUAUAGAGGUAGAACAUACACAUUCAUCAGCUAUGAUAUACCUACAUUUAGGUAAGAAGUGUAAUAUUUUGUAUCUCACACAUAUAUAUGUUAGUUUGUUUACAGCCCUGCUUCAAAAGGUAAUGAAAAAACCUGAAAUCCAGAGAAUAUUGUUUCCAACAUUCUAACAGUGUUCUCUGGCAUAUUUGCUGAAACUCAGUUGCCCUGAGAUAUGGCCACAAGGCUGGUGAGACCAGUGGCACUGAAUCAACAGAAUUUGAUUUCUGGCCACUUUUGUUCAGACUAUCAAACCAAGUCCAAUAGUAAGAAUAGGUAGCUAGGGAACAUUAAUACUCUUGCAUUUUAUAUAAACCAAUAUAAGAGUAGUACUAAACAUUUUAGUAAGAGGGAUUCUGUAUUCAUGAAGGCAAGGUUGAUUAAUUCUGUUCUGUAACAUCUUAAAUGCAUAUCUAGAAUUACCAAAGAGCACAUCUUAGUCUUUUCUAUAAGAUAUGUAUGAAUACUUUUACUAUAAUUUCUUCUUUUCUACUUUUAUAUUCCUUUUCUUACCUUCUUCCCCUCUAAAUAUCUAGUACCUUUAAUAACUCUUUCUCUGUUUCUCAUGUACUUAUCAUGACUCAAUAACACAUGUAGAUUUUCUUUGCUGCUUGCAGAAUUAUUGCAUAAUUUAGUAUUCAAUUUAAGGAUUUUCAGAGGAAUUUACUGCAUAAUUUUUAACAUAAUAAAAUUCGUAAAAUAAUGUAUAGGAGUAUACUUCAAUGAAAAAUGAAAAAAUAAUUGUUUGAUUCAUGUGAACAACAAGGAGAGGUUGAAAAGGAAACAUUCUUUUAACAGAAAAUCUCUGAUUAUGCAGCUGUAGAAAGAAAAGGUAAUUGACAUUUACUCACUCUCAUAUAGAGACUAAAUGACUGCUUUCAUCAUAUCUCUUUUGCACAGUAUUUAAAGUCUAAGUGGAAAUAGCUUUUGACAAAUUGCAAGUAACUCAGCAAAUAUAUUAAUAGUAAUUUAUGUGAAUUUUGUAUAAUAUAAUUUAUGCCAAGAUUGCUGAAAUUUUGUCGGAUCAUCACUCUAUGAAAGUACAGAAUAAUAUAUUGACCUCCUCAAGUAAAAAACUUUAAAUAGAGCUUAUCUGGCAUUUUUUUUUCUCAUUAUAGAAUAAGCAGCUGCAUUAACUGCUUACCAAAGAUUCAUAAUAUAUUACUCUUCUACUUUAUUCAGCUCUUGAGUAGAAAUGAUUCCAAAACACAACCUUACAUGUAAACAGUCUCACACUGUUCAUAAUUCUGUUGUAUAAACAGAUUUUCACCUACAUAAACAGAUACAAACAACACCAAAUACUCUCAUAUCGUGGGGGGCUGAACACUGUGGAUUUCAAUCUAAAUGUUGUACCUUCAGUGUGUUCCUUAAUCAAGGUGAAUUGACUGAAUAUUUUUCUCUUUGUGUGUGCUCUUCACAGUUGUCUAAGACUUCCAUAAUAGAGUCAACAUCUACAGAGAAAUGUGUCUUAGCUACAGAAAAACUACUUUAUAUAUGUAAGGUUUUAUUGAAUCUAAUAUUUAAAAGAUGACAGAACAUUUUGAAAUCUUAAUACAAAAUGAGAAACAAUCCAAAUUUUGCUCUAGAAAAAAUUGUUCAAAAUUUUUCCCUUUUUCAUGUAUACGUAAAACUAAUUCUGUCCCCACUUUAUUCACCUUUCCACAUUAUAACCCUAUGUUUCAGUGAUAAAGUAUUAAGUUUGGCAUUUCAUUGUUUUUACACUAUGGAAAAUAGGGAAUGUUCAUUCCUAUUCUUUGUAUCCAUGACUUUUUAUGAUUCCAGAGUCAUCUGUCAUAUUCACUUUUAUUUUAUCAUUAUUAUUAUUUAUUUAUUUAUUAUUUUAUGUUUGCAAAACUGAAAAGUACAAAACAUUUAAGUCCCUUCUUUCUCCAAAGUGAGUCUGCAAUUCUGAUAAUCUUCAAUUGCCCCACACAGACUGUAACUGGUGACUCUUCCCCAGACCUCAGGUGAGCACUUUGUAAUUAGUGGGCAAGCUAACACAUCAUAGUCUUUAGAGCAAUCACAAAGCUUCUAUAUAACUAUGACAUUGGUAACAGAACUCCCUGUAACUGUGGUUUGCUUAUUGGACAGGUUCCUAUUUGUAAUUGGGUAUUUUGGCACCAGAAUGUUAAAUAUCAAGACUUGGGAGAGAGAAGGGAGAGAACACUAGAGAAACUCUCUCAGCAGUGGAAUUACUUUCACCUUAUCUUUUUUUCUCCUUCUUUUUUAUUUACAUGGUCUAUUUACCUGAAGGUAAGAUUGCCCUAUGACUUGUAUAUUGAUUUUUUUCAGGUUACCCUGUUUGGUCUUAAGCGACUUGAUAAUAUGUAAAUAAGUAACAAAAUUUUUUUCUCCAUAGUGUUGCUUUAUUGUUUGUUUUUAUUUGUUUGGAUGAUUGGUCGGUCUUUAAUACAGUUAUUGCAAAUACUUAGAAAAAUAGAGUUUGCAAUGAUAUUUGUCAUCCACUCUCCCAGAGGUAUUGUGUGAGAUGUACCCCUUAAAUUCAGGUCAGUGUAGAUUUAGGCUGGAUUGAUGAAAAGAGAUUGCUAAUUAAAAUAUGUAGAUUCCACCAGGGACCAGUGUAUUUUGAGACACAAAGUGUAAUUUUCAAAUAGCGAUGACUGCAAUCUCAAAAGACUUUUCAUUAACUUUUCUCCUGCAGUCUUCCAUUAUUUUCAGUUCCCCCACACCAGAGUAGCAGCUGCACUAAUAAAUUAAAACCCUAAAUUCUGGGAUGAAAAGUAGUUUAUUUCACUUCAAAAUGUGGUCACAUUACAAAACAAAAUAAAACCAAAACAAUAAAAUGUAGUAAGACUGUGAUUCUUAAAAUAAGUACAAAAAAUUUUUUACAACUCCCGUAAAAUUCCAAAAAGCAAUUUUCACCUCUUUUUGCUGAAAAGUGAAACCUUUUACAACAUCUGUACUGACCAGGCUAGUACAAUACUUUGUAAGAAUAAAAUUACAUACCAUGGAAGUCAGGAUUCUCACAGUGGAUCAGAGCUACAUUUUAAUAUGGCAGAGAGCACUGAAAUACUUUCACUUACAGCAUAUGCUGCCAGUACCUUUAAAAAAAUUUCUAUCAACUUUAUGGAUUCAAAAAAAGAGCUAACAUUCAGUUCAGGUGAAUAAACAGAGAUAUUUCUGAAUGGAAUUCAGUGAUCUUUCUGUAAUAUGACAGUUAGCUUGAAGAAGAUGAAGCUCAGUAAUCAGUUGAUUGUAGCUGAAAUUGGAACUAUAGCCCAAAACAUCUCAUGGACAUAUAUUUUGCUCGCGUUUGGUGGGCCUACAAACAUUUCCCUAUACUUUAAAUCAAACAGCAGUCUUUCUUGCAAGAUCUGGAUUGAAUAUUGGGCAUUGCAAAACAAUAAUUUUAAAAAGGAUAUAUAAAAUAGAUUCCUUAAUUGAACUUGAAUGGCUUCAAUUGGUAUCACCUGUAUC